ensembl:lncRNA
CCCUUGUGUAUGUGUCUAUCUACUCAGCACUCAGCAGUCAGCUGUCUGAAUCCCUGGAAUUCUUGCUGCCUCAUUGCCAACCCAGUCUCCUAAUCUGACAGCUGAGACCAGUUAGAGGCAACAUGGGAGUCAGGGUGAGCCUCUUAAUUAACCUCAUCCAUUGUGGCAUAAAAAGGUCUGUUUCCUCCUCUUCAGACCCACUUUCCAUUUCUACCACGCUGAAAGGCAACCGCAGGGAGACAAGGAGAGCAGGAGAAGAGAAAAAGCAAGUGGAAUUAACUAGCAAGCACUGCUAAACAACUUGGAAGAGAGCUUUCUCAGCACAUCCUAGCAGACAUCUCACUAUCCUACACUGGGAGGCUCAGCUUCAAGAAAAGUUGUGACUUUGCAUCAUCCCUUCCCAACCCCAUUACUGGCCCAAAUAUGAACAAUAAGAAAGUUGGGUGUAUUUUGAAAGUUAAGCUGUCAGAAGACAUAUAUUACUGCCACCCCUAACACUAUUGAAGAGCAUAAGGUUGGCUCUAUUCCUUUAUUAUAAGUGUAAGCAAUAUGCAAUCAAUAUUUCUGCAAAGCUAAAGUCCCAUAGGAAGAAUGGACCUUCAAAACAAUGGACUUCUGUGAACGACCCUUCCUGUGAACUGUGUGGCAGACAUGGUCAUAACAAAAACCACUUCAGGGAAGCUCAUUGGACAUUGAGACAACCCCUUCCUGGGACAUCAGGAAAAGCAUGUACCUUGUGCGUUGGAACAACAACUUUACCAGAGGGAUUUUUAAUAUCUGUUAGCAGGAAACUAUGGCAUUUGGCCCUCAAAAGGGUCCCUUCACCUUGUCAAGUGGACAUUCACGCUCUGAGAGCCCAGAAGAAAACGGAGGCUCCACUGACAAGAAAAGCUGAAUUGGAUUGCUGUUCAUAGAGCAGGUCAGACUUCAUGCAUGCAUCCUAACAGGUAAAAUAGGAGCCUAGGAAAAUAAGAGCGCCUAAGAUGCUACCAUGGUGUUCCUCGGCAGCAUGAUUCAAUCCAGAGCCACGCCCACCAGUGUUCAAAGGAUAUUUUGGUUCAUUCCAUGAGACAAGAUUUCACUGGGCUCUAUCAGAUAGCAACCAAGUGGGAAAGCAUGAGGCUGGCAUUUACAAACAAAGGGGAAGGUCAUUUAUCAAGACCCAAGAUCAUGGAUGCUGUAAACCUUUCAAGUUGUCAAGAAGUGGUUCAGCCGGGUGUUGGUGGCCCUCGCCUUUAAUCCCAGUACUCCGGAGGCAGAAGCAGGUGGAUCUCUGUGAGUUCAAGGCCAGCCUGGUCUCCACAGCGAGUGCCAGCAUAGGCUCCAAAGCUACACAGAGAAACCCUGUCUCAAAAAAAAAAAAAAAAAAAAAAGUGGUUCAAUGACACCAAAAGGAAACUGCCUGGAUCCUGAGAGCUGGGUUCAAUAUGUACCCACUGGGUGGAUAUUGGAGAGUUCCUGAAAAUAUUAAUUUGUAACCAAGUUGAAUGGAAGUUAAAAUAUCAAUAACAACUUUCUGAGAUGUAUACGAACCCUGUAUGGUGAAAUUUAGAAUAUGUAUAUCCAAAUAGUCACCAAGUUGAAAGACAGUGCCUAUUACUUUCAAAUGAAUCUUGCCUAAAUUUCUUUCAAAAGUAGCAAUCACUAUUAUGAAAUUAACUUUUAAAACUCCCAAACUCCAUAGACUCAAGGACCAGUACAGAUAGGCUGUUUGG